UACGAAGGGGGCUAGCGUUGCUCGGAAUCACUGGGCGUAAAGGGUGCGUAGGCGGGUCUUUUAAGUCAGGGGUGAAAUCCUGGAGCUCAACUCCAGAACUGCCUUUGAUACUGAAGAUCUUGAGUUCGGGAGAGGUGAGUGGAACUGCGAGUGUAGAGGUGAAAUUCGUAGAUAUUCGCAAGAACACCAGUGGCGAAGGCGGCUCACUGGCCCGAUACUGACGCUGAGGCACGAAAGCGUAGGGAGCAAACAGG
rnacentral:rRNA from 1 species